rnacentral:rRNA from 1 species
UCGAUGGGAAACGGGUUAAUAUUCCCGUACUUGGUGUUACUGCGAAGGGGGGACGGAGAAGGCUAUGUUGGCCGGGCGACGGUUGUCCCGGUUUAAGCGUGUAGGUGUGUGUUCCAGGUAAAUCCGGAAAAUCAAGGCUGAGGCGUGACGACGAGGCACUACGGUGCUGAAGCAACAAAUGCCCUGCUUCCAGGAAAAGCCUCUAAGCAUCAGGUAACAUCAAAUCGUACCCCAAACCGACACAGG